rnacentral:rRNA from 1 species
UACGUAGGGGGCAAGCGUUGUCCGGAUUUAUUGGGCGUAAAGAGCGUGUAGGCGGCCUGAAAGGUCAGCUGUGAAAACUCGAGGCUCAACCUCGAGACGUCGGUUGAAACCAUCUGGCUAGAGUCCGGAAGAGGAGUGUGGAAUUCCCGGUGUAGCGGUGAAAUGCGCAGAUAUCGGGAAGAACACCCGUGGCGAAGGCGGCACUCUGGGACGGUACUGACGCUGAGGCGCGAAAGCGUGGGUAGCAAACAGG